AGGACGAACGCUGGCGGCGUGCUUAACACAUGCAAGUCGAGCGGAAAGGCCCUUCGGGGUACUCGAGCGGCGAACGGGUGAGUAACACGUGAGCAACCUGCCCUUAGCUUCGGGAUAGCUCCGGGAAACCGGAAUUAAAUACCGAAUAUGACUGCGGCUGACAUCAGCCACGGUGGAAAGUUUUUCGGCUAGGGAUGGACUCGCGGCCUAUCAGCUAGUUGGUGAGGUAACGGCCCACCAAGGCGACG
rnacentral:rRNA from 1 species